AAGCGUUUUGAGCAUCUAAUGCAUAUAGAAAAGCGCUAUAUAAAUGCAGUCCAUUUACCAUUUUAUUAACAUCCCAAAUACGUGCUCCACCGCACGACGUGCGUGAGACAACCUGCAGCUGUAGAUAAUUUCUCUGAUUCUGGGAAAUCUAUCUGUAGAAAUGU